GCCGGAGGAGGCAAGCGUUAUCCGGAAUUAUUGGGCGUAAAGGGUACGUAGGCGGCUGGUCAAGUCUGGGGUCAAAGGCCACAGCUCAACUGUGAGAAGGCCCUGGAAACUGACCGGCUAGAGUGAGGUAGGGGUUGCGGGAAUUCCCGGUGUAGCGGUGAAAUGCGUAGAGAUCGUGAAGAACACCUGAGGCGGAAGCACGCAACUGGGCCUCAACUGACGCUGAGGUACGAAAGCUAGGGGAGAGAAUGGG
rnacentral:rRNA from 1 species